GGUGGCAGUGUAACCACAGGUGUAGUUCAUCACUUUAAUUAUGAACGGCACCAUACUUCUGGCUUAAUUUUGAAUAGCAUAUCUUUUUUUGCGAAUAAAACGUCUUAAAAUAAACACCAUUUGAUUUGAUAUUUUGCUAUCGAAUGCAAUGACACUAAAUAGACGGUUUACCCAAAAUGAACAUUCUCUCAUCAAUUAUGUAACGUCGUGUUGUUUCAAAUUUGGUUUCAAAGUUUUCUGUCCUACUAUCGAAAGUCCAAACAUUUGAUAGAUCAAAAUAUAGAUAGAUAGAUAUAUUUGUGAUUUGAAGAUGAAAAACUAAUGGGUUUAAUGUAACGUGAGGAUGAGUAACCGAUCACUGAAUUUUCGAUUCUUAAUAAGGACAAAUGUGCUUCUUGAAUACUUGUGAGCUCACAAAAGCUGCACGACAAUAACAAAAUAAUUACAAAUAAUGGUUUUAGACGAAGAAGCACGGCAUGUCACAUUGCAGGACACCAGAACUUGUGGCAUUAGCUCAUGACUGAACAAAAUGCCAUGGCGUCAAUUAAGCAUUUCUAUUUCUCUUUCGACAACAACCGAACCCAAACGGACAGCUUUCAAUGACCUUUCGGCGUUUUAAAACCACAGCGCCCUUUUCUUGUACUUUUCGACUCAGAAGCGGUUUAAAAAGUCAAUUCUGUUAAUGUUUGACGAACUAAAAACAGUGUGUUCCUCUCAUGCCCAGCAAUGUUUGCAGAAAGCACCAGCACCUUACACAACAGACUAUGGAGUAGCUACAUCUGACAUUUAAAGAAAAGCAUAUUUUUAUUGCAUCUUUGUCUGCAAUAUGUAGCCAUACGAUAAUAUUAACAGUAAAUUCAGCACUAGCAUUCCUGAGCUCUCUCUCUCACACACACACACACACACACACACACACACACACACACACACACACAAUACUCAAGGGUGGGGUCACAUACACACUGCAGUGUUUAAACAAGACUCACGGUCAGCUGGAUUGCCACCUCCUCCUUUUCCCUUCAGCCCGGCGGCUCAGGUUUGUCUUUACCUUAUUUCGGAAACACGGAAGAACAGAAGUCCCAGCAGAAACAGCGUGCAGCUGUGAAAACUGAUUCCCAGCAAACAACUCGCCCCUAGGCCCCUGCCGGAAUAUUCGAGGAGAAUCGGACCGGUUAUGUUUCACCAGUUUUAGCAGACUGAAACUGGAACCGAGGCUCUUGAUUAUUCAUUUGUGACGUGCUUCUCCAGCCUGACGCCAUGAACAUCUCUCUCGAGAACCCCUACGGCGACGUCGCCAUUCCUCGUGCCAAACUGCGGGAUCAGGCCGACUCCAGCACCAUCAUCAUGAACCCGAUGGCCUUGGAGAGCGCCUACAACAACCGCAACUCUGCCUUAAACCCCUACAACAGCUUCAAAACCCCGGGCGAGAGCAACACCUCAAGCGUGCCAGUUUACGGAGAGGCCAGGAACGGCGGCCAGAACCCCCCUCCGGCUUACGCGGUGAGGGAGAGCGACGAGCAGGUGGGGCGCUGCUACGCCUGUUGCUGCCGCUGCCGGAGGAGGAAGUGACACCAGAUUCUUCCCGUGAAGCCAAGGAUUAUGGGUUUACAAUUUGGAACCACGAUUCCACCUCCCAAAGUUUGGAAGCCAAAUGCUCUGCGUUUCUAAAAUGACUGGAUUUUUUUUUUUUUUUUUUUUUUUUAGUUUUUGCACCGUACAUGUUUGGACAAAACAAGAGCUGACCUUCCGUGACCGCACCGAAACCUUUUACAUUAAAUAUUUACAUUCGGAUUACAUCAUUGUUUUGUUAAGUUGGCACAUUUAAGUUCAGCUGAAAUUGCACCUACUGAACCACAUUAAAGCGGCCUUGUUUUUGUGUGCCUCGAACAAUGGCAUUCCCAGAUACUCGUUUUGGCGUCACCCAAUUGUUCCCAUACUCUUGCUUUACAAUAAGUUAUUUGAUUUAAUGUUGUUUCUAUAAAUGUACGAUGAGGUUAAACGGGUUUUACUGGCGCACACAGAGGUGGUCUCUCUUUAUGAUACGUCCCGGUGGACCUCUCCGGGUUUCUUUAGAUUUUUGAGCCACACCCUGACAUGCCGUCUGACACAGGUGACUGAAACUUGAGGAAAAACCCUUGUUCUUUUUCAAAGGGAUGCACCAAAAGACACUCUCAACUUUUACUGCGGAACGAGUGUGCCAUCUGAGUUUCUAUUGAACGAGCUUUUCUGGUUACUUCAGACAUACUGCUGACACAUUGUGUCUAGGAUUGCCAAAGAGACUACUUAGUGCAACAUAAAACCCUUAUAGUACUAAUAUUAUACAAUUAUAAGCAAUACUGUGGUAGUUACAUUUAAUACAAUGGGUCAUGGACAGUUUUUUUUUGUUUUUUUUGGCCAUAAGACUGUGAGCCUGACUAUUGUAAAUAGUCCAACCAAAAUGUUUUGGAUGUCUGUAUGUGUUAGGCACGUUGAUCAGUAUAUUUUUUUUUGAUAUAAAAUCACCUUUGUCUCUGUAAA